GAUGAACGCUGGCGGCGUGCUUAACACAUGCAAGUCGAACGGUGAAGCCAAGCUUGCUUGGUGGAUCAGUGGCGAACGGGUGAGUAACACGUGGGCAACCUGCCCUGGACUCUGGGAUAAGCGCUGGAAACGGCGUCUAAUACUGGAUAUGAGCUCUCAUCGCAUGGUGGGGGUUGGAAAGAUUUUUCGGUCUGGGAUGGGCUCGCGGCCUAUCAGCUUGUUGGUGAGGUAAUGGCUCACCAAGGCGUCGACGGGUAGCCGGCCUGAGAGGGUGACCGGCCACACUGGGACUGAGACACGGCCCAGACUCCUACGGGAGGCAGCAGUGGGGAAUAUUGCACAAUGGGCGGAAGCCUGAUGCAGCAACGCCGCGUGAGGGAUGACGGCCUUCGGGUUGUAAACCUCUUUUAGCAGGGAAGAAGCGAGAGUGACGGUACCUGCAGAAAAAGCGCCGGCUAACUACGUGCCAGCAGCCGCGGUAAUACGUAGGGCGCAAGCGUUAUCCGGAAUUAUUGGGCGUAAAGAGCUCGUAGGCGGUUUGUCGCGUCUGCUGUGAAAUCCCGAGGCUCAACCUCGGGCCUGCAGUGGGUACGGGCAGACUAGAGUGCGGUAGGGGAGAUUGGAAUUCCUGGUGUAGCGGUGGAAUGCGCAGAUAUCAGGAGGAACACCGAUGGCGAAGGCAGAUCUCUGGGCCGUAACUGACGCUGAGGAGCGAAAGGGUGGGGAGCAAACAGGCUUAGAUACCCUGGUAGUCCACCCCGUAAACGUUGGGAACUAGUUGUGGGGACCAUUCCACGGUUUCCGUGACGCAGCUAACGCAUUAAGUUCCCCGCCUGGGGAGUACGGCCGCAAGGCUAAAACUCAAAGGAAUUGACGGGGACCCGCACAAGCGGCGGAGCAUGCGGAUUAAUUCGAUGCAACGCGAAGAACCUUACCAAGGCUUGACAUACACCAGAACACCGUAGAAAUACGGGACUCUUUGGACACUGGUGAACAGGUGGUGCAUGGUUGUCGUCAGCUCGUGUCGUGAGAUGUUGGGUUAAGUCCCGCAACGAGCGCAACCCUCGUUCUAUGUUGCCAGCACGUAAUGGUGGGAACUCAUGGGAUACUGCCGGGGUCAACUCGGAGGAAGGUGGGGAUGACGUCAAAUCAUCAUGCCCCUUAUGUCUUGGGCUUCACGCAUGCUACAAUGGCCGGUACAAAGGGCUGCAAUACCGUGAGGUGGAGCGAAUCCCAAAAAGCCGGUCCCAGUUCGGAUUGAGGUCUGCAACUCGACCUCAUGAAGUCGGAGUCGCUAGUAAUCGCAGAUCAGCAACGCUGCGGUGAAUACGUUCCCGGGUC
rnacentral:rRNA from 1 species